rnacentral:rRNA from 1 species
GUCCACGCUGUAAACGAUGGGCGCUAGGUGUGGGGGGUUUUUAAUCCCUCCGUGCCGCAGCUAACGCAUUAAGCGCCCCGCCUGGGGAGUACGGCCGCAAGGUUAAAACUCAAAGGAAUUGACGGGGGCCCGCACAAGCGGUGGAGCAUGUGGUUUAAUUCGACGCAACGCGAAGAACCUUACCUGGGCUUGACAUGUGGGGAAUCUCAUGGAAACAUGGGAGUGCGUAGCAAUACGAACCCCAGCACAGGUGCUGCAUGGCUGUCGU